rnacentral:rRNA from 1 species
CCUUCCCUCCUAGAGGGUUCUUGACGGAGGCAAAGAAGAGGGGGGGGGGAAGAAUAUACUAGAGAGGGAGAAAUUACUUCUGUAUCAUACUUCCUCCCUUCCGGCAGAAUCUUACUACCUAAGGCGGAGCAGAUAUAAUACACAGAAUCUUCGAGGGCGAAAGGAAAUAUUAUAGUAUAAAUUAUUAACAAGUAUAAACAUUAGCAUUGUUAAGUGUCUAUAAAUUGACUUUUCCAAAUUUCACUUACGUAACUAUAUUUUUAAAUGUGUUUUUUUCAGUAAUGUAUUUGAUAUGUAAUGUAAAAUUUAACUUUUUCUAGUAAAGAAAGAGUUUGUAGUAUAUAAAGAAACUAUUAUGGAUAUAUAGCUAUAUGUUAUAGAAAUACUUAAUUAAAUUAGGUUAAGCCUAUCAACUCUAGGAUAAAUCCAAUUUGUAAACGAAGUGAAUUGAAAUAUCUUACUAGCUUCAGGAAUAAAAAUCAAAUGAGAUUCUCUUUAAAGAGAAUAGCUUUAAAAGUAAAAUGGAAAAUUAACUCUGUUUGAAUUAAGGGAAACCUUUCUCUAAAGCUAAAUAUGACAUAUAAGUGACAGAAAAAUAGUACCGUGAGGGAAAUAUUAGUAAAUAGUAGUUUUAUAAGCAGCUCAAGUAGGAAUAAGAUUCAAAAAUAAGAGCGUACCUUUUGCAUAAUGGGUCAGCAAGUUAAUGUUAGAUGCGAGACAGCCUUUAGUACAAAGAGAAAUAAAGUAAAAACAAAGGUCUAACCACCAAAGUGAUGAAAUAUAACACUCAAUGGAACAAUUGUCCUAGAUAAACCAAUUAUUAAAUAAUGAGUAAGUAUCUAAUAUUAGACCCGAAGCCUAGUGAUCUUACCAUGAUCAGAAUUAUAAAAGUUCGAACGGGUUAUCGUUGUAAAGAUAUCCGAUGAAUUGUGGUAAGUUAGUGAAAGACAAAACUGACUAGGAUAGCUGGUUUUCUGCGAAACCUAUAUAAGUAGGUGGUUUAAAUCAUAUCAUCGUAGGUAUAGAAUUGUGAUCUCAGACAAGUUAUAUUGUAUACAUUGGGGGAUCGUGAAGAUUUUAUCAGUGAGGAUUUGCUCUCAGAAGGACGAUGAUAAAUUUUAAACUCUCGGACAUAGUACGAUAAGGUUGUAUGUCUAAAGGGAAACAGCCCAGAACAAGAGUUAAAGGUUCCAAAAUUAUUGUUAAGUGAAAAACAAGGAAGUAUUUUUCAAAUACAACCAGGAAAUAGGCUUAGAAGCGGCCAUUUUUUGAAGAUCUCGUAACAGAGCACUGGUUUAAAUUGGCAUUUGCCAGUUAUAUAAGUUAAAAGCGUCAAAAAUUUAACGGAUCUAAACAAUAUACCUAUACCUUGUACAUAAAUGGAAAUAUCCGUUUGUGGGGUAGCAGAACGUUGGGAAGAACUUAGACUUGGUAUUUUUAAUGCUAAGUAAGUGGUGUUGGAGGGUAAUACCUUCAAUACUACGAUGUGAAAACCCCAAGUGAUAAUGCUGACAUGAGUAACGAAAAAGGGAUAUCCCCUCGCCUUAAGCUUAUGGUAUUAACAUUAAAGUAACGGCCCCUAAGUUUAUAAACUCUCUUAAAAGAUUAAAUGAUGGGAAAAUCUUUAUAUGUAUUACAACAUUUAGUUUGGUUUGUGUAAUUGUUUGUAUAAUUACACAUAAUUUAAACAAAAGAGCAUUAAAUGUUCUGGAAAUAAAUACGUAUUAUAAACCGUACCUAGAAACUACCACAAGUAAGCAAGUAGAGAAUACAAAGGCGUUUGAGCUAACAAUCAUUAAGGAACUCGGCAAAAUGACUCCGUAACUUCGGGAUAAGGUGUGCCAUUAUUCUUAAUAUUAAGUUAAGGAUAGGAGGCAUAGAGUGGUGUUGUACGACUGUUUAAUUAAAACAAAGCACUUUGCAUAAGAUGUAAAAUCAAAGUAUUGAGUGUGAUGUCUGCCCAAUGUUGGCUGGUUAACGGAUUUUCUUAGUCUUUUACUGACUAGGUUUUGAAGGAUACCCCAAUCAAUGGCGGCCUUAGCUAUAAGGGUCCUAAGGUAGCCGAUGAGGGUCCUAAGGUAGCGGAAUACCCUGGCCGUUAAAUGCGGUCUUGCAUGAAUGAUUUAACGAUACAACAGCUGUCUCAAUGAUUGGCUCAGUGAAAUUGGAAUAACUGUGCAGAUACAGUUUUCUUCUAGUUAGACGAGAAGACCCUAUGCAGCUUUACUAUUACUAGUUAUUGGACAUAAUAAAACAAGUUGUAGCGUAUAAGGUAAUUGAGAUAAUUAAAUUGAAACACCUUUACUUAGUUUAUUAUGUAUCUCGUCAUGAAAUAAGGGGUCACCCCACUCCUCCUUAUCACCUAUAUAAAAUUGAAUAAUCUCUUUUAAGUUUUAGGAAUGACUAAUAACUUAUUCCUCAGAAUAAACUUCUAGGAAAACAUUGGCUAGUGGAUAGUUUAUGCGGGGCACAGAUCCCAUAAAAAGUACCUGGGUGUAUCUAAAGUUUGUAAAUUUGUUUAUUAUUUCUCUUUACAAAAAAAAGAGAGAUUUAAACAUAAGUGUUAAUUCUAGCAUAUAAUUUUAAUUUGUAAUAUAUAUAUAAAGAAUCAAGUAAAUUCAACACAAGAAAAUACAAGACAGAGUUGCGUAUCUUUUCAUUCCUAUCAAAAGGUAGGAAUGAGAGAAAACAUCCGAAUUUUAUAUAUUCAUUCAUAGUUCUAUUAAGUUAGAUUUAUAUAGAUUUAUAUUAUUUUUGAAGUAAGAUUUUCACUAUAUGGAAAAUAGAGGUAAUAGUAAACAUUAACUACAAAAAUUAGUCUUGUUUCAAUUCAUUUUUGAUUAUGUCUUUAGGAAUAAUUAAAUAUAGUAUUUUUUUACCUGCAAAGUUUAAUGGCUUAAUCUUGCUUUACUGUUUGACUUACACGUCUAUCAGUCGCGUAAGCGGGGCAUAUGAUCACAAGAUGCAGAAAGGAAAGGUCUUGGAUUAUUGAAAAAGCUACGCUAGGGAUAACGCUAAUUGCGCCAGAGAGUACAAAUUG